rnacentral:rRNA from 1 species
AGGGAAUAUUGCGCAAUGGACGGAAGUCUGACGCAGCGACGCCGCGUGAGCGAUGAAGGUCUUCGGAUCGUAAAGCUCUGUCCUUGGGGAAGAAGGCGAAAGCUUGACGGUACCCAAGAAGAAAGCCCCGGCUAACUACGUGCCAGCAGCCGCGGUAAUACGUAGGGGGCGAGCGUUGUCCGGAAUUACUGGGCGUAAAGGGUUCGCAGGUGGCCUUUUAAGUCAGAUGUGAAAGAUCAAGGCUUAACCUUGGUAAGCAUUUGAAACUGAAAGGCUUGAGUUAAGGAGAGGAAAGUGGAAUUCCUAGUGUAGCGGUGAAAUGCGUAGAUAUUAGGAGGAAUACCAGUGGCGAAGGCGACUUUCUGGACUUAUACUGACACUGAGGAACGAAAGCAUGGGGAGCAAACA